AACGCACCUUGCGCUCCUGGGCUAUUCCUAGGAGCAUGCCUGUUUGAGUGUCGUGAAAUCAUCAACCCCAGUUGGAUUUGAAAUUUGACUGGUGGCUUGGACUUGGGGGUUUGCUGGCCGUUUUGAUUCGGUCUGGCUCCCCUUGAAUGUAUUAGCUUGGACUUGUUCCUAAGGCUUCAUGGCGUGAUAAUUAUCUACGCUUUGUACUGUCUGUGGAAUAUCUAUGAGUCUAGCUUCUAACUGUCCUCUGGACAAUCUUUCAAUCUUUGACCUCAAAUCAGGUAGGACUACCCGCUGAACUUAA
rnacentral:rRNA from 1 species